UUACGACCAUAUCACAAUGAAACACCGGUUCUCGUCCGAUCACUGGUCAAGCAACGUCGAGGUUGGUCAGUAACUAGAUGGGUGUCCGCUUGGGAAUACCAAUUGCUGUUA